UGGGGAAUUUUGGACAAUGGGGGCAACCCUGAUCCAGCAAUGCCGCGUGUGUGAAGAAGGCCUUCGGGUUGUAAAGCACUUUUGUCCGGAAAGAAAACUUCGUCCCUAAUAUGGAUGGAGGAUGACGGUACCGGAAGAAUAAGCACCGGCUAACUACGUGCCAGCAGCCGCGGUAAUACGUAGGGUGCGAGCGUUAAUCGGAACUACUGGGCGUAAAGCGUGCGUAGGCGGUCUGUUAAGACCGAUGUGAAAUCCCCGGGCUUAACCUGGGAACUGCAUUGGUGACUGGCAGGCUAGAGUGUGGCAGAGGGAGGUAGAAUUCCACGUGUAGCAGUGAAAUGCGUAGAGAUGUGGAGGAAUACCGAUGGCGAAGGCAGCCUCCUGGGCCAACACUGACGCUCAUGCACGAAAGCGUGGGGAGCAAACAGGAUUAGAUACCCUGGUAGUCCACGCCCUAAACGAUGUCAACUAGUUGUUGGGGAUUCAUUUCCUUAGUAACGUAGCUAACGCGUGAAGUUGACCGCCUGGGGAGUACGGUCGCAAGAUUAA
rnacentral:rRNA from 1 species